AUACAACAUUCCCUAGAUUCCAAGCUCUCAGAGUUUUCUGGGGCCUUUGCAUCUGUUGCAUAAACCUACAUAAAACAUGGCUUUUCUCUUAGGAGGAGCUUGCAACCCAGUGAAGGAGACAAAUGGUUAACCAAAUACAGUGCAGUAAGAGAUCCAACCAACUAAAAUGUUCAGUGCUAGAAGACCACAGAAAAGGAUUAACCGGACAGUCUUCACAGAGUAGGGCAGCUUGUUGGUCCAGGGGAGACUUAUGCAGCAUUGUGACACUGGGGUACACGUCUGUCAUUUUCUGAAGAGCUGACUUGGCUUCCAUUCUACAGGUGUGAAUGAAGAUGGCAUUACUCUAGGGCGUAGCCACUGACUCUUCUGAGGUCUUUGCCAUGGCAAUUGUAGCCACACCAUAGACAGACCAUGCCCUUUCCUUGGCAUUUAAUCUAGUUGCCCUCCCAGGGGACCUCUUGGUGAUUACCUGUCCUGCUGGCUGUCACUCCUAACUUCCAGGCCUCCUAUAGUCCAAAGGAACCACAGUCUCUUCCUCAUCACUUAGGCAACAAAAUCCCAGGGAUCGUUGGCCCUUUAGGAUCUAGAUAAGGCAUGCUAGCAUUUAUAUUCCCACUUUACACCCUUGCCUUCUCAAUACUCCAAGGGGAAAACAGUACAAGUAUUUUUACUCUUGGGUCCUCUUUACAUAAGGGAGAAAUUUAUAUUCAAACUUCACCCCUAGACCCUUCCUGGAGUUUGUUAUAGUGCACAUUUGUUAUGGGCUGAAUCUUGUCCCCAUCAACUUCAUAUGUUGAAACCCUAGAAGCCAGUAUCUCAGAAUAUGACUGCAUUUGGAGAUAGGGCCUUUAAAAGACGAUCAGAUUAAAAAGAGGCCAUUAGGGCAGGUCCUAAUCCAGUCUAACUGGUGUCCUUAUAAGAGGAGGAAAUUUAGACGCACACAGACACCAGCGCUGCACAUGCACACGGGAAAGAAUACAUGAGAACACAGUGAGACAGCUACGUUUGCAAGCCAAGGAGACAGGCCUCAGAAAGCAAACCUGCCUAUUCCUUGGGCUUUGACUUACAGCCUCCUGAACUGUGAGAAAUACAUUUCUAUUGUGUAAGUCGCCAAACCUGUUGGUAAUAGGUUAUAGCAGCCCUAGUGCACGAAUACAGCAUUCCCCACAUUAUAACUCUCUCCCGUCCUUCUAAGAGCUCAAUCUUCAUUUCCUACUACAGUUUAGUUAGGUCUCAUUGGAGCAGGAGCUGGUGGAAGAGGGAGCUAGUUCCCUGCGUUCCUAUAUGUUCCCCACCCCAAUCCAUUUUUUGACUUGUACAUACUGGGCAUUUUGAAGGUUUUGUUUAAGAAUCUAGAGUCUUUAUUUCAUUUGUUCGAAUAGAAAUGACUGGGAGAAGACAAAAGCAAUAUGAAGUGUUAAGUUCCAGAUCUCGAAUAAAUAUGUUAUCUAACAUCCCAUGGGUUAACUGUGUGUGUACAUGCUCAUAUUUUCCUGGAAAAUGAGUCCACAACUCUCCUCAAAUUCUCCAAUGGAUUUAUGACUGCAAAAAUGUUAAGAUUCACAACUGUAUUAUAUUUGAAAUAUGACUCAUUUUCAAAUAUAUGAUUUACAUACAAUUUUACAAAUAUACUAUGCCAAGUGAGAGAGAGCCACUAAAGUUUAUUUUCAAUAAAUGUAAAAUUGUAGCACACUCAUUUGUUUUCUUUUAAAAAUCUCUUAUUUAAUUUGCCAUGAAAAAAGAAGCUAAAGUAAACUGUCUGUGAAAAACUUGAUUUCUUCCUCAUACUCACCCAGUCCCAUGCUAAGAGAUCAUAAAAUCAUACUGCUACUGAUACUGGGAACAGCUAUCUUCGAGCACUACCAGCAGUAAGAAGCAUUCCAUCUUAUUCAAUAUUCAAACACGCAUAUGCAUUAAUACACCAUAGAAAUUAUUGCUUUUUUAAUAUUUCUUUUUCCUACUUUCUUUUGCCUUUUGUGUCAAUGUUCAUGAAACAACCAGGAAUAGGAGAUAGUAGUGAUAAGGAAUGACCUGUAUUCCUCCCCUCAUUUUGGGAAUUUUCAUCUUUUUCUUCUUCUUCAGCCUACCACUCUAAUCUACCUGAUUACUACAUAGGUACUAUGAAAAUGUCACUUGGUUACUAUCCUUGGCCAAGGUCGUUGGCUGGGGUUUGGUAGCUGGAAGAAUCACAGUACUUGGAGAAUUUGGAACUGGUUCACAAGUUAUAAAGUUUAAGAGUCGUUAGCAACCAUGCACUUUGGUGCACACCAGAUAAGCAGAGAGAGACAAUGUAUGUGGGGAGAGAGAGAAAGAGGAGAGAGAUACAGAAUGGAACAGUUAGUGUGGUGGCGGAAAAGAGACAGAGAAAUUUCUAAUGGCCUGUCUCUGUUUUCCAGUCAUUGCUAGUGCCCAGUUGCAUUCUUGUUUUGGGGUUCCAUGGGGCAGCCAAGUAUCUUUACAAUAAUUUACCCGUUUUACUUAAGUUCGUUCUUAUUUCUAACAACAUCCCUCUUAAUUUAAAUACACACAGACAUACACGCACAAUCAUAUACACAAGAGAUGAUGCUAAUGUAUACAUAACAAAGUUUCUGUAAUGUUUAAGUGUUUAAAAAUUGAGAUGAAAACAAAGACUUACUUUAUGGGUUAUCAUUGACAUAACUGAAUAAGCAUUAAAAAACCUACAUGAUGCUUGGUGCUAUAUUCUAGAAGAGAUUUUGAAUAGUGAAGGAUCAUAAAAAUGUAGAUAUGAUGUCAUAUUAAUCUCACCUGAGAUAAAAAUCUAGAGGAACAAUGAAUCUAUGGAGACAGUGUAGGCUGCUUCACUGCAAAGGAGAGUGUGACAACAGCCCUGUAGAUCCUAGCUUGAUUUUAUUGUUUUAGACAGCAAGGUACCUGCAGGGAAUCACCUUUGACUUCUGGCCCUACAAAGAUAUUUCAAAAGGAGAUGAAAAAUAUUUUGUCCUUCAUUGGCAAAUGGAGUUAUGUUUUGGGGGUACAAGUGGGCAAAAGUUCAAGGUUUGUAAAAGUGAAUGCUGAAUGAGUUUAUUAAACCGUGGGAGCAUCCGAAUUCUCCAGGCUUAUUCAAGGAAAAAGCCACCAAAGAACUAAAAAAGGUAAAUAUCAGGAUGAUUGAUGGAUUUUUUAAAAUGCCUUGUGGUACAUGCAUCUGAUGGCAUCCUGAUUCAUAUUCUCUGUUUUCCCAGAAUUCAAACUUCUUACGUGAUAUGCAUAGGUAAGUCACAUAUUUCUCAGCCGCCGUGUAAAAGGACUUCGGCAGCAUGGUCCAUGUCUGGACUUUAAUUAUAAUAGGGUCAUCUAAGCAUCUCACUUUAAACUCAUUUCCAUAGAAUCAGUAACUGCAUUUAUUUACCACUCAGUCUUUUAGGAGGUAUGGUUUGGUAUUUCUGGGAUUGCUGCUGUAGUCUUCAUAAACACACACACGUGCACAGACACACACACACACACUCUUCCACUUAAAGUUAGAGGACAGAUAUGUUAACUAUAUUUCCAAUUUAGUAACAAAGCUCUGACAUCCUAAUGUCCUGAUAUUAUUUCAAUGUCUCUCUUGUGAGAAAAAUCAGAAACCGCCCAGUGAGAAAGUUCUAUCAUCUUUCCAGCAGAUCUCUAUGAACAGAACUUACCCACUGCUUGGAGAUGGGUGUGUUCAGUGCUGCCCUAUGGAGGAGAAAUCUAACUGUGUGAUGGCUUCUCAAAGCUGAUCCACAUCUUGACAGGGAUUAUUUAUUUGUUCCUCACUCUCCUAUCUCUCUGCAUUCAGCUCACUUGGGAUAGAGGCUGAGCAUAGGAGAAAAGGCUUGAAGAGAAACAAAGGGAAGGGCUUCAGGGACGCCAAGCAAUUUCUGGCCUAUAGUGUUUAUUAAUUUAUUCUAUAAACAUUUAUUGAAACUACAGAAUAUUAGUUAUUGUCCCAAGCUCUGGGAGCAGAGUGGUGAGAAAAAUAAAUGAAACAAACAAACAACUCCCCCCUCCAAAAUAACAAAAACAAAACAAAACCCCCCGCAAAGUCCCUGUCCUCACUGGCAAGGCUUAUAAUGUGAUGGUCAAAUGUUUGAGGAGUGAAAGGAUGCCUAGAUGCAGGCAGUGACAGCAGGGGUGACAGCUGGGGGUACAUACAGCUUCCUAGUUUGUGAAACUGUUAGGCCGCGACUUAACCCAAAUUGAUUUCACUGUCCUGACUUUGAGAUUCCAGUCUUUUUGCAUGGCAAAUGUAACACUUGUGUACAAGCAUUCGUACACUGCUUUAUUUAAACAGUGAAUUUAAAACGCCCUCAGGGAGAAGGGCUGGGGUGUCUUUAUGGGCUGACUCUGGGCACCUUUACCUUUGAACGGCUCCAUCAAAACCUUUCCGAGAGAGCCGCCAGGUGGCACCUGUAAGGCGCAGAUGGGGAGAGUCAUUUGCCCCACACCCUACACAGCCCGGAAUAAUCAGGGUGCGUGCUUUCCCCUGUGGGCUUGUUGGCUAGGAAGUGGGGGAGUUUUAGUCUCCGUCCAGACUGCUUGCUUACAUACCCCGUUUUCCUGAUACCCCAACACACUCAGGGCGGAUUUGUCCCCAC
ensembl:lncRNA